rnacentral:rRNA from 1 species
UACGUAGGUGACAAGCGUUGUCCGGAUUUACUGGGCGUAAAGAGCGCGCAGGCGGUCGAUCAAGUCGAGUGUGAAAGCCCCCGGCUCAACUGGGGAGGGUCAUUCGAUACUGAUCGACUCGAAGGCAGGAGAGGGUAGUGGAAUUCCCGGUGUAGUGGUGAAAUGCGUAGAUAUCGGGAGGAACACCAGUGGCGAAGGCGGCGACCUGGACGAUGACUGACGCUGAGACGCGAAAGCGUGGGGAGCAAACAGG